GGUAUACACUCAGGUGUGAGACUAACUCUGUGUGACCCAACUGGGAGGAGUGUCCGAGUCUACCUGGAUCUAAGCCACGCCCCCUACCCUCCUGGACUGUUACCUGGCAGUAUUGUGCUGCUGUCAGACUUCCAAAGGAAACUGUCCAGGUCAGGGGGC